CAUAGGUUAAUGAGGCGAACCGGGGGAACUGAAACAUCUAAGUACCCCGAGGAAAAGAAAUCAACCGAGAUUCCCCCAGUAGCGGCGAGCGAACGGGGAGGAGCCCAGAGCCUGAAUCAGUGUGUGUGUUAGUGGAAGCGUCUGGAAAGGCGCGCGAUACAGGGUGACAGCCCCGUACACAAAAAUGCACAUGCUGUGAGCUCGAUGAGUAGGGCGGGACACGUGGUAUCCUGUCUGAAUAUGGGGGGACCAUCCUCCAAGGCUAAAUACUCCUGACUGACCGAUAGUGAACCAGUACCGUGAGGGAAAGGCGAAAAGAACCCCGGCGAGGGGAGUGAAAAAGAACCUGAAACCGUGUACGUACAAGCAGUGGGAGCCUCUUAAUGGGGUGACUGCGUACCUUUUGUAUAAUGGGUCAGCGACUUAUAUUCUGUAGCAAGGUUAACCGAAUAGGGGAGCCGAAGGGAAACCGAGUCUUAACUGGGCGUUAAGUUGCAGGGUAUAGACCCGAAACCCGGUGAUCUAGCCAUGGGCAGGUUGAAGGUUGGGUAACACUAACUGGAGGACCGAACCGACUAAUGUUGAAAAAUUAGCGGAUGACUUGUGGCUGGGGGUGAAAGGCCAAUCAAACCGGGAGAUAGCUGGUUCUCCCCGAAAGCUAUUUAGGUAGCGCCUCGUGAAUUCAUCUCCGGGGGUAGAGCACUGUUUCGGCAAGGGGGUCAUCCCGACUUACCAACCCGAUGCAAACUGCGAAUACCGGAGAAUGUUAUCACGGGAGACACACGGCGGGUGCUAACGUCCGUCGUGAAGAGGGAAACAACCCAGACCGCCAGCUAAGGUCCCAAAGUCAUGGUUAAGUGGGAAACGAUGUGGGAAGGCCCAGACAGCCAGGAUGUUGGCUUAGAAGCAGCCAUCAUUUAAAGAAAGCGUAAUAGCUCACUGGUCGAGUCGGCCUGCGCGGAAGAUGUAACGGGGCUAAACCAUGCACCGAAGCUGCGGC
rnacentral:rRNA from 1 species